UAUGAAGAAUUGGGGUGCCAUUGUGCUGAGAUUAUACCCACUGAACCUGAUACGGUUAACACCGGCGAAGGGAUUUUUUCACCAUUAAUA
rnacentral:ncRNA from 2 species